UUAUAGAGUUUGAGAACCGGUGAUCUUGUUUUCCAUGACGAGCAGACUGACCGUGUCUCCUACGUCCCUUUGUUGGACUGUUCUUUGAGUGAUUUGUGAGUGAUGUGUUCUUGUCCACUCUUAGUCAAAUAAAUAUAAGGUUUGUCUUCGAAAUAGUUGUAGAUCCAUAGUUGCAAGAGUUAGGGGCAACCGAGUUGUUUGGUCGCAUCUUUGGGUGUCGUUCUUGUCAUCUUGUUCAAAUCGUAUAUUGAACUAUAGCACACAUAAAAGAAAUAAAACCUCGUCUCCAGAAGAAGCUCUAGAGGCAAUGGCGCCGACUGCAUACUCCGCCCCAGCGGCUGUGGGUGGGUCAACCUCCCACCCUGCUGCCGGGCCCAACUCCUCUAGUUCUUCCAAUUCGGAAAACUUCAAAAUGAAAAUUCUCACGGUCAACGGAGGAGAGGUUAUAUAUUUCAACAUAUUAAAAAAAAAUAUUGGAUGUUACUUGCACUGAACGAGGGGUUGUUUUCAUAAUAACAACCACUGGGAUCUUAUCAUGCAAGAUGGCGAACCCAAAUUUGUUAGUUGUGUAUUAUUCACAUGUUGGGUAUACUGAUAUUUCUAUUAUAAAUAGGCUUGGACCAAUCCAAACUUGGGUUAAAUAGGCCAAAUUUGUUUUGAGAGAUUAGUCUAUUGGGAUGAAGAUAUAUAUAUACAUGUAUCAAGGCCUAGGUCUUGCCUACUUCUCAGCAUUUUGUAAACCCGUAAGUCUUGCGUCUUCCUUCAUCUCUUGCCAUUCUUAAUCGGAGGUAAAAAGUAAGUCUGUGGUCCAAUUUUUUUAGAGGUUUUUUGAACUAAAUUUCUGAUCUAAACCCGAAAGUCCUGCCUUUCGUUCAUCUUUCGCCAUUCUUAAUCGGAGGUCAAAAGCAAGUCUGUGGUCCAUUUUUGUAGAGGUUUUUGAACUAAAUUUCUAAUCUAAACCCUAAAGUCCUGCGUCUUCAUUAUCUUUUGCCAUUCUUAAUCGGAGGUAAAGAACUGCGAAUAUGAAGUCCAUUUUUGUAGAGGUUUUCUGAACUAAUUUCUGAUCUCCUGAACUUAGUGUUUUUACGCAGAUACUUUACAAAGUAGGACGGUUUAAUUUUCCCAUUUUCCUUCUCAAUCUAUGGCGCGAACAAGGCAAACCCCAUACGUCUUCAGAAUGUUACCCAUGCUAAGGCUGCGGAAUGCAUCCUCCACCCAAGCCGCUGUGGGUGGGUCGACCUCCAACCCAGUCACUGUGGGUGGGUCGACCUCCAACCCUGCCCCCGCCGCUGUGGGUGGGUCGACCUCCAACGCUGCUGCCGGGCACAACUCCUCAGACUCUUCCAAUGCCGAAAACUUCAAAAUGAAGAUUCUCUCAGUCAAUGAAGGAGAGGAUCUAUUAGCAAAAAUUGUAGAUGCUACUACAACCGAACCAGGGAUUGUUUUCGUAAUAACAACCACUGGGACAUUAUCCCGCGCCACAAUCUGACUACCUGCAGAAUACGACGAACCCAGCAUAUACGAGGGUCCGUUUCAAAUUCUUUCAAUGGUCGGUUCCUUUGUUCCAUCAAGAGGUGGACUUGAAAGUGGCAAUGAUGGAAGGCUGAGUACAGCCUUAUUUCGGCCAGAUGGAACUUCAUUUGGCGGUAUCGUAGCAGGACCUAUUAUCGCUGCAUCUUAUGUAGAGAUUGUUCUUGGUUGCUUGCCCCAUGACGAGGGUGAAUCGUGAGAGAAGUAAAGGAAACCACAUGCAGAGUUCGAUUCUGCAUAAAUAAAACUGUAUACGGUGCUUGUAAACCGAAUAUGUUAUCUUGAUAUUAAUUCUAUAGAAGAUGUUGUUGGUUGUGUGUUAUGCACAUGUUGUAGGAUGUUAUUUUGUAUUUUGUGGUGAUCAUCAGAAACAUAUAUUAUUUAAAUUUUAGUUUUAGUUUAGAGCAUUAUAAUCAUGAUUUUCAUGGCACCUUGGCAUCCUGGCAGUGCACCGGCAGCACCAGGCUGCUCGCCUC